UACGGCAAUGUCACAUUGAAAGACCGGUCCCCGUACGAUCACCGAAGUUAAGCAACGUUGAGCCUGUUUAGUAACUAGAUGGGUGGCCACUGCUGAAUGGCAGGUGCUAUA